AGGCGGAUGCUAAUCAUGCAAGUCGCACGCUUUAACUUCACCGGGUGCUUGCACCCACCGAAGUUAAGGAGUGGCGGACGGGUGAGUAACACGUGGGUAACCUGCCCAUAAGAGGGGGAUAACAUUCGGAAACGGAUGCUAAUACCGCAUAUUUCUAAUCGUCACAUGACGAAUGGAAGAAAGGUGGCUUCGGCUACCGCUUAUGGAUGGACCCGCGGCGUAUUAGCUAGUUGGUGAGGUAAUGGCUCACCAAGGCGAUGAUACGUAGCCGACCUGAGAGGGUGAUCGGCCACACUGGGACUGAGACACGGCCCAGACUCCUACGGGAGGCAGCAGUAGGGAAUCUUCCGCAAUGGACGAAAGUCUGACGGAGCAAUGCCGCGUGAGUGAAGAAGGUUUUCGGAUCGUAAAACUCUGUUGUUAGAGAAGAACAAGGAUGAGAGUAACUGCUCAUCCCCUGACGGUAUCUAACCAGAAAGCCACGGCUAACUACGUGCCAGCAGCCGCGGUAAUACGUAGGUGGCAAGCGUUGUCCGGAUUUAUUGGGCGUAAAGCGAGCGCAGGCGGUUCUUUAAGUCUGAUGUGAAAGCCCCCGGCUCAACCGGGGAAGGUCAUUGGAAACUGGAGAACUUGAGUGCAGAAGAGGAGAGUGGAAUUCCACGUGUAGCGGUGAAAUGCGUAGAUAUGUGGAGG
rnacentral:rRNA from 1 species